AGCGCGAUAGGAUAGCCAGGAUAUUCCGCCGGGCUCAUAACCCGGAGAUCGGUGAUUCAAAUUCACCUCGCGCUA
rnacentral:tRNA from 1 species